rnacentral:lncRNA from 1 species
GAACUAGGGCAUUCUUGUAAACAGCCAUUGUCACAUCGAAAAAUCUAAUGAUGACACAAUAAUACUGCCUAAUAUAUAGUCCAUAUAUAACAACAAAGUUUCUCAGUUGUCCCUCAAAUCUCUCUCACAACUUUUUUGCCUUCAAUGCAGUGCUGCAUCAGGGGUCACUUGAUGGACUGACCCAGUUGUUAUUUGUCUAGACCAAUUCCCUAGCUUGAAUUUUUGAAGACUACAGUGCAGGGAAAUUGUUUUGCUGAAGGUCUUCCAACCUGGAUUUUUCUUAUUUUUUUUUUCCCAACUUGAGUCACUUAAACAUUUUUGGCAGUUAUACAUGGGUAAUAUAAAAACCCAUUUGUGACAUUCUAAUGAGCUAAUUAGCAAGGCCUUAGAUGCAGUUGAGAUAUGUACUCCUCUGGAGUAUGACCUUUGCUGAUAUAGGUCUGGGUGACAUUACUGGACUGUACAUUUUUUUUUUUUUUUAAUUUAAAAAUUUUUUUGAGACAGAGUCUUACUCUGUUGCCCAGGCUGGAGUGCAGGGGUGCAAUCUCGGCUCACUGCAACCCCUGCAUCCUGGGUUCAAGCGAUUCUCCUGCCUCAGCCUCCCAAGUAGCUGGGAUUACUGGUGCCCGCCACCACGGCUGGCUAAUUUUUAUAUUUUUAGUAGAAAUGGGGUUUCACCACGUUGGCCAGGCUGCGCUGUCGCACUCGAGGAACCGGGUCAGUGACCUGCUGCAGGACACGGGGCUGGCGGGGAAGGGAGAGCGCCUGAACUCAGCCUCCAAGUCCUGCACUCGACUCUGCAGGAGUAAAAACUAUUCUUGACGCUACCUCUCUCCCUUCUCCUGCAAACAAGCAACAAAAUGCUGAAAAGGCAUCUUAACUGAAACGGAAGUCAAAUGAAUUCGCGUGCGAUCAUGGGAAUUUUUGGCUCCUAACCUUGCGAGUAGAGCUGGGUGACUUCCAUUUCUGGUGGGGGAGUGGAAACAGGUUUCUGGGCUUGCAGAAGCCACAUCCCGUCCCCACACAACCUAGGCCAGGCCAGCUAUUUGUAGGUGAGGCUCCGGGGCUCCAGCUAACCUGAGCUACCUGGGCUGGGCUUUGUGCGGGGAGGCAGCAAGCGAGGUGAGCGGGCGACGACGCCGGCCUCUACGCAGUGCGGUGGUGAAGACGUCUCUUCCAGGGAGUCACAGGAAGCAAAUCCAUCCUUUUAAAGGGCUCGCGUCCCGCGGUCCUGAACCGGCGCGCUGGAGCAGUAAUGCGGCGUUCUCCAAGGUUCAGGGCUCACGGCCCAGCCCUGUGAUCCAGCUUCCUCAGUCUUCGCGGUGUGCACUACUCAGGACCACUUGCGGCUUACGUCCCAGGACAAAGGGGGCUUGUCCUUUCUUCAACGUCCUCCUGCGCAAAAACGAAGUCCUUCGGAGGCUGCCUGCCUUCCGGGAGAAGCUGCGCCCCCUCAGGCGCCUGGGCUCCGCGCGCCUGCCACCGCCCAUUCACCUCGCGCACCUGGCAUUCCGGGUCUCCGGCCCCGCCCUGCCGCCCGCCAGGUGAGAAGGACCGGGCCCC